UUAUUUUUCAUGCAGAUUCUUGUUCCUUGAUUCACUGUUUUUUCGUUAGUAAAUAAGUCUAAAAGUAGUGGCAAUAAUAUCCUAUAUUAGUUGAGAUUUUUUAGCUUUUCAAUUUGCUUGUAGGCCUAUAUAUAGGCACCUUCAGUUCUAGAAUAAAACAAGCUGCAUUUCUUAGUGUUAUUUUCUUUCUGUAACUUCCUUUUUUCAAUACUCUACUACUCUAAAUUCCCAACAUUUGUGUAAUCAGAGCACAGUUCAGAUUCAAUAGAGUUUAGUGAUGUAAAACACUUGGGAGAAAGAGAGAAACACCAUGGCUUUGAAUGAAAAUUCACUGAGCAUUUCACGACCUGCCAUCCUUAUUUUUAAAGGAGAGAGUUAUGGAUUUUGGAGUAUUAAAAUGAACACUCUAUUUAAGUCUCAAGACCUAUGGGACUUGGUAAAGAAUGUGUUUACUCAUCCAUAUGAAGAAAAUGGAUUGCGGGAAAACAAAAAGAGGGACUCAAAGGCAUUGUUCGUCAUCCAACAAGCAAUUUAUGAUACUGUUUUCUCAAGAAUUGCAGCAGCUAACACUUCGAAGGAAGCAUAGACAAAUUUUCAAACUGAGUUUCAAGGAUCAUGAAAAGUAAUAGUCAUGAUACUCCUAACUCAUUGGCAUGAGUUUGAAACAAUUCUCAUGAAAGGCAAUGUAUCAGUGCAACAUUUUUUAUUUUUUUUUGUCUAGAGUGGUGGCAAUUAUUAGUAAAAUGAGGUCAUAUGGAGACAAAAUAACCGAUCAAACAGUAGUUGAAAAAGUGUCAAGGAGUUUAACUCCUAAGUUUUAUCAUGUUGUAGCUACUAUUGAGGAGUCCAAAGGCAUGUCGAACUUUUCAUUUGACGAAUUGACAUUAAUGAAGUUCAUUAGUAAGUUAUUGAAGAGAGUAAGUUAUCAUGGCCCUUUAUGACAGAAGUUCCAGCUGAUGUUUGGUUUGUAGAUAGUGGUUGCUCCAAUCAUAAAUCAGGGAUGAAUGCAUUAUACAAACAGCUUGAUGAGACUAAAAAAAUGAAUGUCAAGCUGGGUGAUAAUAAAGAAAUUCAGGUUCAAGGAAAAUACACAGUAGCAAUCAAAACUAGCCAUGGUGAGGUAAAACUUCUGCAUAAUGUUCAAUUUGUUCCUAGUUUGGCAAUAAUUUAUUAAGUGUUGGGCAAUUAAUGGCUAGUGGAUAUUCAAUUUUAUUUGAUGAUGGAGCAUGUGUUAUCAGAGACAAACAAUGGUUAAUAUUCACAUGAAAUAAAAUGUUGGUGAACAAAAAUGACGCGAAAUUGUGGCACUUGUGGUAUGGACAUCUUAAUGCGGGGGGCAAAAAUUGCUGGGUCAAAAACGUAUGGUUCUUGGAUUACCAAAAAUCGAUUCUUUUGAUUUAUGUGAGGGGUGCAUUAAUGGGAAGCAAACUAGAAAAUCAUUUCCUAUUGAAAAGGCUUGGAGGGCUUCUACUUGUCUUGAAUUAAUUCAUUUGUAUGGGCCUAUGAACAUAGAAUCAUUUAGAGGGUGUCGUAAUUUUAUACGUUUUAUUGAUGAUUUCAAUCGCAUGAGCUGGGUGUAUUUUUUGAAGUACAAAUAAGAUACUUUUGAAAAUUUCACAAAAUUCAAGGCUUUAGUAAAGAAGCAAAGUGGGUCCUACAUGAAAGCUCUUCGUAUAGGCAGAAGUGGUGAGUUCUUGUCUAAUGAAUUUAAGCACUUUUGCGAAUUCGCAGGGAAUUAACAGCACGUUACACACCAAAGCAAAAUGAAGUGGUUGAAUGAAAGAACUAUACCGUUCUUGAAAUUGCAAUAAGUUUACUAAAAGGAAAGGGACGUCCAAGUCAGUAUUGGGCAGAAGCAAUUACUACUUCAAUGUAUCUACCGAAUAUUUCUCCUACAAAAGUUGUCUUGAAUCAAACACCAUAUGAAACUCUAAAAGGUACAAAGCCUUUGGUAAGCCACUUAAGAAUUUUUUAGUGGUGAAGUGAUUGCUAGCAGAAAUGUAAUCUUUAGUGAGCAUGCUAGAUUUGAAGCAGCAACAGUGAGGAAACACAACUUGAAACCUCAUUGAACGAAGUAGUGGACCCAAUACUAGCAAACUCAACAAAUUCAUCUCCCUCAAGUUCAUCUACUACAAAUUCAAUAGAUAGUAGUUCAUCUUCGAAUGAGUCAUCCGGUGAGACUCCUCCAAGGGAAUUCAGAUCUUUGAAAGAGAUCUAUGAAUCUUGUGCAUUUGCUUAUUUGUUAUAAAUCCUACAACUUAUGAAGAAGCGGCGAAAAUGGAAGAGUGGCAAAAUGCAAUGAAG
rnacentral:lncRNA from 1 species